CUGACUUGACCUCAAAUCAGGUAGGAC
rnacentral:rRNA from 1 species